AUCAGUAGAUGGCUCAGUAUCGCAUGUGGAAAGCGAAAUUAACUGAGUUACUGUAUCAGAUUCCGGCAAAUCUUCCAUUAUUAAACAAAGUAUUCUGUUUAAUGCUCGAAGGGCCAUCUGAAAAUCCCUGAGCUGUUUCUUGAAGUCCAGUUAUGAUACCAGGAGACAGCAGCAUAAUUAAAUUUGCUGCUUGAGCACGAAGCACUGCAUCAAUUGUAUCUGAAUUAUUGUGGACUAGUGACAAGGUUAUUAUCGUCUCGAUUGCUGCCAAUCUGGAGACAAAAUUACAGGGAGAAUAUAAUUUCUGAGAAGAAAAAAGUGUCAGUGGAUAAUACAGCAGUAAAACCUCUCGACAAACUCACCUCAAUGAUUGCGAUCUUUCUGUCUUAGCAAUGGAUACGCAACAAUAUAUGGCCUGGCUAAAUUUUCCAAUGUUUUUACGAACGUAAAAUGCUUCAAUUACAUCGGUACAACUUCGGCAUAUCAAAUCGCUUAUACACAACAGUACCAAUCACACAAGGUGUUUUGCCAAAGCUUGUUCUUACCCAUCGUUUUCUGUUCUUUGUCAAAAAUUUGGUAAACAAGGGUUGUGAAUAAUCGUGUUACUACAUCCACCUUUGC